GUGAGGAAUAUUGCGCAAUGGGCGAAAGCCUGACGCAGCGACGCCGCGUGGAGGAUGAAGGUCUUCGGAUUGUAAACUUCUGUUAAGUGGGAAGAAAGGGCUGCUUUUAAUAGAAGCAGUUAAUGACGGUACCAUUAAAGAAAGCACCGGCUAAACUCGUGCCAGCAGCCGCGGUAAUACGAGUGGUGCAAGCGUUAUUCGGAAUAAUUGGGCGUACAGGGUGUGUAGGCGGUAUGUUAAGUCUGUUGUUAAAGACUCCGGCCUAACCGGAGACAGGCAGCGGAAACUGGCGUACUAGAGGGUGGAAGAGAGAAGUGGAAUUCUCGGUGUAGCGGUAAAAUGCGUAGAUAUCGAGAGGAACACCGAUGGCGAAGGCAGCUUCUUGGUCCAUACCUGACGCUGAAACACGAAAGCGUGGGGAGCAAACAGGAUUAGAUACCCCGGUAGUCC
rnacentral:rRNA from 1 species